AUGAGGGGUACGAGAUAUAAAUGUGUGCGUGACCGGUUAAAUGCUCAAAGCGAAUUAGGAAAUGGCGAAGUCGAAGAAUCACACCGCUCACAAUCAAUCAUACAAAGCACACAAGAAUGGCAUCAAAAAGCCAAAGAGGCAUCGCCACACUUCAACCAAAGGGAUGGAUCCCAAGUUUUUGAGGAACCAGAGGUACGCAAGAAAGCACAACAAGAAAAUUGGGGAAAUCGCUACUGA